ensembl:lncRNA
CACCCAUUCACACACACACAGUAGCAAAGCUGCCAUGUAAGGCACUAACUUGCCAUCAGGAGCAACUUGGGGCUCAGUGUCUUGCCCAAGGACACUUCAGCAUAUGGAGUCAUGUGGGCCGGGAAUCGAACCGCCAACACUACGAUUAGCGGACAACCCGCUCUACCACCCGAGCCACAGCCUCCCUAUACAAUGUUUUACAAUGUGUUCAGCAGCUAAUCAUCCACACAGUCACACCAUCUUUCUCACCUCGUUCACCAUGACGACUGCCUACGCCUCCAACGCCUUCACCCAUGUCCUGACACAACAGCACUUUCACUCUUAUCCCAGCUCUUGACGCAUAACAAACAAGUGAAAUUGUAUAAAGAUCAGCUUUACCAUUUAAAUGGAAAUUUCCU